AAAUAGGAAAUAAUUUAGUGCUAUGAAUUAGGCGCGAAGUGCAAAAGUUAAUGCAGAAUAAGACAUAGUUGGAACGUAAUUAAGCUUUUACGCUUUUUUAAGUCCUGAUUAGGUGAUUAACCGAUAAUGGCAAUCAUAAAAGCAAUGGGAGACAAGCGAAGGAAGUUAUUCAAGCCUUAAAAAGCAUGAUGGGUGGAAAUCGACUACAGGACCCGAAGGAUUUAACGAAAAAUCAAUAAGCCGCAUCUAACAAGCAAGUUUCUAAAUUUAUUUGAAAAUGUACUGAAAAUAUAUAAAAUAUUCAUAAUAUAAACGUAAACAUACUUGUUGCAAAUGUAUGAAUGUUCGUUGUUAUUUCAAUAUAUGUUGGAAUUUUCUUCGCUUUUAAUAUAAUAUGUUGUUUGUUAUUUUAUAAUAUUUUUAGGAAAGUUAAAUUUAAAAAUUGACGGUUUUAGCGUAAAUUAAGGAACUAAUGAAUGGGGAUUUUUCAGACUAGUAACAGACAAACUAAAUUCGUUCCUUAAAAACUUGUAUAUUCACAACAUGCAAAUAUUUCAUGGCCUCUAUUCUCAAUUAAAAAUCUUAUAUAAAAAUAGGUACUAAUGUUUUUCACUAAAUCACCUAUUUAUAUAUUUUUGGUAUAUGACGGAUGUAAAUCGACCUCACUAGACGAAGGAUUUAAUAAAGAAUCGAUAAGCAGCAUCUAACAAGCGGAUUGCCAAAUUAAUAAAAAAAUACACUUGAUUCGAUAAAAAUUUACUCAAAAUAUAUAAACUGUUCAAAAUGGAGACAUAAACAUAGUUAUUAAUGCAAAUGUACAAAUGUUCGUUGCUAAUAUAAUAUAUAGAGAAAA